GGAACCACAGCCGGCCGGGCAUGGCAUGGCGGCCUGAAGCCCGCUAAUUAUGCAGCCCAAGGGAGCCAUGCGGACCUGCCAGCGCCGCCCCAAGAGGUGACAUGGAAAACCUCAGCAGGGGUCUGUGUGUCUUGGGUCUGACCAGGAAAUGGGGCUGCGAUGCCGGGCCUGCGGGAAACGGGACUGGAUGCUCUGGCCACUUGCGUGUCAACAGGAAUGGUUUUCCAAACGAGUCUUCUGGUGGCUCUCCAGGCAGGAGAGAACGUCGUCCGAGAGCGUCUCCUCCUCCCGGCCAGGCUGGAGGGGCUCUGGAGCUUCUGAAAUCCAGCAGGCCCAUUCCAGAAAUUCUUCAGAACCAACCACCUUGGUCUUUAGUGUUCUGGUUCUCGCUGUCCCUCUGGGACCGCUCGUUAGCUUCUUUUCGUGCCCACAGAAACAGAAAUCUCGGAGUUGGUUCCUCAAGGCCACCCAGAAAGAGCCAGGUGACCAAAGACCAGGCAGGUUUGUUUUUUUUAGGUUAUUCUUUUCUUAGCAUCUUCUAAUCAUCUGGGAGCAUGGCUGUUUAUGAUUAUUUUCCCUGUUCACGGAAAGUAAACAGAUUCAAGCUCCAGUUCCUGACCUUCUUUUUGAAGCUGAAACCUCUACCCUCAACCUGAGUUCAGUUUUAUGAUUUUCCCACUUUUUCCCCUGGCUUUAAAAAAAAAAAUUUUUAAUUGAAAUGAUCAUAUAUUGCUGCUGUUGUUUUGAGAAUUAAUAAGCUCUCCCACUUUCAGAAGAAAAUAGAUUUCAUCUUGGGAAUCGUUAUUCCUAAGCCAAAGAAGUAUACUCCAAAUAUUAUCCUUUGCAUUGUGGAAAACAAUAUUAAAUAUAGAAGUUGAUUAAAUGCUGUAUUUGUGGAUGUGAGAUGCAUAUUUUUUUAAAGGAGGAGGCUUUUUGUUAAGCAGACAAGCCUCCCUACAACAUGGUGAGGAAAUUACACUCAUCCUAAACCCAGCGAGUCAUCGCUCUUAAAUGAAAACGAUUUCAGGCCCUUUGAAAGAGUCAGUAAGGACCUGCUAUGUGCCAGUCACUGUUCAGAGGCGUCAUUAGAGAGUCUGAGGCGGGAGAAGGCCUGAAAUAAUUUUUAGAGCAUUUGUCUACCUAGUCUACUGUAUCUAUAGAAAAUUAGAUGUAAGAUGUACUACGCAUUCAGAGAAAAUUAGAAAUAGAGGAAAAACCCAAGGAGGAAAAUAACGUCACUGGUAUUUGCUGUGGUCUUUUACAGUCUGUUAUCUUCCCUACUCAGCAAUGCCCUGUGAGUGUGUCCUCCAGUUAAAUUUUCUUCUACAAGAGUGGUUCUCAAACUUUUGGUCUCGGGGCUCUUUUAGAUUCUUAACUUAUUGAGAGCCCCCAAGAACUUUGGCAUGUGGAUCAUAAUACAGUAUGUUGAUACUUACUGUACUAGAAAUAAAACUGAGAAAUUUAAAAAAUUUAUUCGUUUAAAAAUAACAAUAAUAACCCCCCUUGCAUUUUGACAUGCUAAUAUUUUUAUGAAAGAUAACCAUAUUUUUCAAAACAAAAAAUUGGGAAGAGUGGCAUUUGUUCUGUUUUUGCUAAGCUCUGCAUUGUCUGGCCUAAUGGAAAAAUGACUGGAUUCUCCUGUCUGCUUCUGCAUUGAAUCUAUGGAGAUACAUGUUGCUGUGAAGUAUAUGAAGAAAAUCCAGCCUCACCCAGAUAUGUAUUAUGAAAAAGGAGAAUCUUCUUAUUGGCAGCCUUUUCAGAUAAUUGGGGAUAUUCUUUUUUGAUAUUUCACCAAAACUCGACAAGUCAUCGUUUUUUAAAAGUUAGCUGCAAUGUGAAUUUGAAACCAUUUUAAUGAACUUUCUUAUUCUGCUGCAUGGAGACCAUUUUGUCUUCUUUUCUGUCUCUUGAGGGCAGAGUUCCUUUCCGAACGUGGUCCUUGGGCCAAGGUAACAAAAUUGUGGAUGGGUUAUUUUAGAUGGAAAGCUUGGGAAAAAGAGCCACCAUCCUUCCUGGUUUUGUAAGCAUUCCAAACAAAUGCAGACUGAAGUACAAAUAACAUUUUUGGCUUUCUUUGGAAGGUCAAAAUUUCUUUAAAUUUUUCACAUUCUAUUCCUGCAAUUUUUUCAUCCUAUUAAUGCCCUCCUGCAUUAAAACCCUGAGGAAUUCUCUCUAUUUAUUAUCUCACCCUAAAAAACCUCCAUGAUGUUACUAGCAGAUAUAAGGCUAGAAAAAGAGUGAAUUUAUGGCUUCCAGAGAGCCCAGAGCUUUCGCUAUGGCCAGGUAUGGGGUCUGUUGCAUUCGUCCGGGCUCAGCUGGAACUGCAACUAUCUGUUGACCAGAGGGUGUAAUUCCUUUAUAUACAGGGUCCUUGGAUCUAGAGUUCCUACAGAAGAGGUCCAGCUGGAUCUUCUCCUUGUGACAUCAGUGGCAUGAAUGUCCUCAGGUGUGCAGGAACGUUACAAGCCUCGGUGGCAACCAUCCGCUUGGAGCCCUGGCUGCCCAGGGGAGCAUCAGUCUGCUAAUCGGAGUGACCUCUGCGUGUUGAAGUGCCAUUUGUUCCCCCAAAUCAUUGCUCACUGUGCAUCUUGACACGUAUUUACUGAAGAGAGUGCUAGAAAUGGGAGAUGCAAAGAACUGGUCGCUUGUUAAAAAUUUAGGGGCAUUUUAGGCAAUGUGCUUUAGCCACUGGGAGCACAGGAAUUUCCCCAAGAGAAAAUUCCCAUUUUUUUCCAAAGACAGAUCAUGAUGUACUUCUAACCCAUGGAGCCAGCGUGAUAUGUACAAAAGUCCUGGUAACUCAGAGGGAGGGAGUAGGAAGACUUUUUUAUUUGCAAAAAUGCUCUAGGAUUAGAAUAUAGCAGAAUGUUCUAGACUUUCUGCUUUUGAAGGUAAGGACUAUGACUUUACUCAUCCAACCAAAUAUUCUUAAGAACCAACCAUGUGCUAGGCAUUCUCCUUGCUGGAGUUUUAACAGUAAGUAAGCAGAACUAGGCCCUGCCCUUAGGGAUCACAUAUUCAAGUGGGGGAGACCGAUAAUGUCAAUGUAUAAAUAUAUAAUGUGGGGAGCGAUAAGGGAUAUGAAGAAAAAGAAAGAAGGGCAAGAGGCGACAGAGGGAUAUGUAGGGGGUUGAGUAAGGACCCUUUUUGAUGGAGUUUUAUGGAAACUCUCUGAGGAGGUGACAUUUGAGCAGAGUAGAUGUCUAAUUGUGAAUGAAUGAAUACACAACUCAAGCCUGGAGUUCUAUAGUCAAUGCUAAUCAAGCCACAUACAUGAGCAUCCUGGUUGAUGAGCAGUGGGAUUGAAUGUGUGUCUAUUAGUUUCCUGGGGCUGCUGGAACAGAUUGCCACCAACUGGGCAAAACAGCAGCAGUUGAUUCUCUCACAGUUCUGGAGGCCAGAAGUCCAAAAUCAAGGUGUCAGCAGAGCUGUGCUCCUUCUGAAGGUUCUAGGAGAGCAUCCUUCAUUGCAUCUUCCAGCUUCUAUGGCUACAGGCUUUCCUUGGCUUAUGGUGGCAUCACUCCAGUCUCUGCCUCCAUCUUCAUGUGGCCUCCUCUCUGUGUGUCUGUCUGCUCCUCUUCUGUCUCUUGUGAGGACGCCUGUAAUUGGAUUUAGUACCUACCUGGGUAAUCCAGGAUGAUCUCAUCUUGAGAUACUUAAUUUUAUCGGCAUAGACCCUUUUUCCAAAUAAGGACAUAUUCAUAGAUUCUGAGAGUUAGGAUGUGGAUGUAUCGUUUGGGGGCCACCAUUCAUCCCGGGAAGGAGUGAAAUCUGGGAAAAUCACUUCAACAGCAGAUCUUAAAUCAAAGUUAAAUGUGCCCCUGAGCAGAGUCCUGGUUCUCCUUGCCUACAGCUGCAUGGUUGUGGUACAGCUGCAUUUCAGUGAUGACGAGGAGGAAGCAGCUGUGGGCACCGAGAGAUCCAUGAAGCAGCAGUGUCUGGCUACUGCAUUGCUGUGAUGUGGAACCGCUGGGUGGCCUGGGGAGUCUGCCUAGCUUGGCCGGCUUCUAAUGAGACUUAACUACCAAGGGGGAAAUCACAGCAGUAAGAUGCAGGGCUGUGGGUCUUUGUGGGAAUCCCUCGUGGAACAGACAGCAGGUCUCCCAGAAUUGAGAAAAUACCAUUCGGCCCAGAAGAACAGAGUAGAGAAGCAGGUAGGAGGCUGGGAGAAGGGGCAGUAGCAUUCUGUGCGGACCUUUCACAAGCGUUAAGACGAGCAGUGCUCAUGGAGGCAGCAGACUGGGUAAGUUGCAACAGUCAGCAGCUUGGGAAGCUGGGACCUCAGCCUAAGAGGAGAUUGCAUUGAGCAAUCCUCUCUUCUGGGAAUGUCCUUGGUCGGGUUUGCAGGUGUGCCCGAGGCGGCUGUGGUAUUGAACCCACCUCCAGAGGGCGGCCACUCUGCUCUGAGCCUUUAUUGCUUUGUCUUUUCUCAGUCAAGCCUUUUGCCAGAGGAAGGCAGGGAGGAGCAAGUCUAUAUGCCCAGAGCCUGCCUGAGUUGGGGGUGAUGUUUGCUCAAUUCUCUGCAACCCCAGCUGUUGCUCCAGGUGCUAAGUUAGACACUUGGUAAUUAGCAGGGCUAAUUUAUUUAAUCACGUUUGUGCUGUUUUUCUUCUCCCAGUUAUUCUUCUUGCCCUGAUCCUUCUGGUUUUCCUGGAUCCACUCCCAGGUGUGUUUGUUGGAAGGCGCUAUUGAGGGAGGAUGGAUGCUUGUUGAUGCCAGAGAUUAGAGCAAGCUCUGGCUUGGUGGUGGUGGUGCAGGAUGCUGGUCUCCUCCUUAUUCUAGAUCAGAAUUUCUCAACCUCAACUCUAUUGACAUUUUGGGCCAGAUGCUUCUUUUUUGUGGGGCACCGUGUUGUGCAUCAUAGGAUGUUUAGCAGCAUCCGUUGGCCUCUACCCCCUAGAUGCCAGCAGUGCUCCCAAUCCCAGUUUUGAAAACCAAAAAUGUCUUGGGACGUUACCAGUUGCCCCCUGCAGGGGUCAAAUUGCUCCCAGUUGAGAGCCUCUGUUCUAAUCAAGUUACUGAUUGCUGAUGUACUUCACUUGAACUUUUGGGAUGAAAAUUACUCUUCCAAGUCCAUGCAGUAGGUUGGGAUGAUAAAUGCCCUUUCUUAACCAUCUUGCAUUGCUCCCUUUUUUGGGUCUGCCAGACUUGGCAAACCAAAGCCCUCGGCCAGAGAAGGGGCUGGCUUGGGGGACAGGAGCUACGACCUGGUCUCCUCAAACAUAGGUUCCUCUCUUGAAGUUGUAUAAUCCUUGUGUUAUACAGGGAAGGAAAAAAGAAAGCUGUGAUAUAUACAGGGACAAUAGGUGGCAGGGUUGGUGUCACCAGGAAGAUAAACAGAACCAGAAAAGGUGCUUCUGUGUUGAAGGUGAAAACUUAGCUUCACCAGCUGCUCAAAUGGAACCAAUCCAACAUGGUGGCCAAGCCUGGGAGGGGAAGGCCAUUGUAGUUUCUGUGUUGGUGGAUCCCCUGGGGCCAGCUCUCUCAGCCUCACUUCUUAAGGGGCUAUCUUAGGUCCUUCAGAGCCUUGGCCUCUUAUCCAAGAGUCUGAUUCAUUUUAGGGUCCCCUACAGAUGCCAACCUAGUGCCUUAUGUGCAGAAGACACCUUGAAUGUCUUUGGCAAAUGAAUGAAGAUGGAUAGACUUUUAAAAUGAUCCAGAUAAUCUGAGGUAGAUCUAAAAGGAAGGGGGGGGGAGCGGAUGGAGGAGGAGCAGCAACUGAGAAUUAUUAGCCUGGAGUAGCAUUGUCCCAUAGAAAUAAAACUCAAGCCACGUAUGUAAUUUUAAACUUUCUAGUAACCACACUUCAAAAGAGGACAAAGGAAACAGAUGAAAUCAAUUUUAAUAAUAUAUUUUAUAUAACCCAAUAUAUCCCCAAUCUUACCAAUGCAAUCAUUAUAAAAAAUCUAUUAGUGAGACAUUCUACUUGAUUUUUUUCAUGCAAAGUGUAGGAAAUCCCGUGUGUGCUUUACACUUACAGCACAUUUCAAUUUGGGCAUGUCACAUUUCCAGUGCUCAUUGGCUAGCGGCUUCUGUACUGGACUGUGCUAGUCUAGAGAGGAAGUUAAAUGAUUAAAUUUGGGGAAAAAACUGUUUGUUGUAGACAGGAAUAAAAAACGAAUUUAAGGACUUAUGUGGACAGAUUUCAUCCAGAAAUGCCCGUUCCUGCCUUGAUAAGUGCCUGUCACUGUAGCGCCCCUGCCUCUCCCCCAAACAGGGUCUGUUCACAUGAGUCCACUGGCUGCCGCUCUCCCCUCCCCCUGACCCCUUUGUCCACUCUUUUCACUUUUGUUUCAAACGAAUGAGCACGCAAAAAGGGCCCUGCAUUCCACUGGGCAACUUAUUCAAACAUGGCAUGGGCGUGCCUGUGUUUUCUCAAUUCAUCAGCAGUGGGCCCCCACCCCUUUCUCCUCUCCUGUUUCCUCAGCAUCUUAAUCAGGGUCCUAGCUUGACUCCAGCCUCCACGAUCGUUUUGGGGGCCAAACUGACACCUGCUCAGUCCACUCAGCCAGGAGCCCCGCGAGACUGUCUGCGAGCGUGGAUCCAUCCUGGGUCCAGGUGUGAAAACACGAGGAUUCUAUCCAUGGAGGCCCUUCCUUCUGAGCAUCUGGGGGCUCUGGAGCCUGAGACCACAACACAGCCUUGACUUUGCUUUGGCUCCAUCCUGAGAAGCCUCCUCCCGGAGGAGCCAUCUGGGUUCCUUGGCCGCUGGGCAGUCGAUGCAGAGGGUUUCUGAUGAAGUUAUGGGUGAUCUGGAGUCCGUCAUGCCUGACAGUCUCCUGCCCCGUGUCUCUCCUCGUAGAGCUAUUGCGAAGAUUAAAAGGCAUUUGGGGCCUGAAGGGAAGAGAGAGAACAUAAUUCUGGGAUGCUGAGGGGGAAAAACCUCUCUUGUUGUGGAAAAGAAAAAUAUGACUUAGCAGGAUACACCCUUGGCUCCUUCUGUCCCAGUGUCGCCUCAGAUGGGCUCUUCAAAAUUCAGUUUGACCUUGAGAUCUUUUAUUUUAACCAUGAAUAUUUGCAUUUUUUCUCUUUCAUGAUUUUUUUUUUUCUUUUUUGCCUGCCCUCAAACAGCUUUGGUAGGUACACUUCAGUAGGAAUAAUUCUAGCCAUGAACUAAGAAGAUUUGUCACUGGCUAGCUGGGUGACCUGGGACAAGUCGGCUAACCUCUCUGGGCCUCAGUUCCUCAUUCAAAAAGUGGAGUCACACUGCCCUAGCAGAGUUGUUGCAAGGAUCAAAUGAAUUAAUGUCCAUGAAGGAGCUAUGUAGAGUAUGACAAACAAGUAUCUUUUAUUACUUGUACGGAGGGAUAUUUUUACUCUCCCCAAAAGAGACCUUCCUAUAGUCUAAGGCAGGAACCUUCACCAGCAGGUAUGUAAUUUCUAAGACCUUCCUUCACUUUUUAACGUCUGACCUCCAGGGUUCAGAGCCAUCUCUUAUUGGAAAAGACAAGAACUGGGGUGGGGGAGCAAGACAGGGUAGGAAUUUGGAAUAAUGGCAGUGGUUGUCUAAUUACACAUCCUCUUCUCCAUUAGUCCUGGUGCUGUGUGUAAGGAGCAUAAAUCACUUUAAGAGUCUCCUUUAAGGGGGAGUGAGUCUCCCACCCCCCGUGCCCCUGUCACUACUGUCUGCUCUAUUCCAGCUUUUCACGAAAGGUGGGAUUAUUCAGUUUAAUAAGUUUCUUUCCCCAAUAAAAGCCAGGUGGGAGCCUACGAAAAACCACAUCUGCCAGGCCAGCCUCUUCAGUCUGAGGCCGCUUCCUCUCCUUCUGCCAACUUAGCUUGUUCCUUUGAUUAACCGUUUUGUUCGGCCGGUAGUGUUUUGCCACCUUGCCACACUGACUGUCUCUUGGAAGAGGAGAGAGAGAGGCAGGAGAGGGUGCGCAGGAGAGGAGAGGAAGAGAGUACAGGGAGGGGAGGGAUGGCAGCCCAUUAAAGAGAAAUAAAUUUUGCAGAGGGGAAGCGAGAGGUCCCUCCCCACGUCUGCGUAAAUCAUCUUGUUUUAUGGACGGGAUGUGGAGGGAAGUGGGAGAUGGGCUGGCCCUGAUAACUAGGGUCAUUUCUCCUACUUCCAUCUGUCUGAUUUUUUUGGAUGUUCCAUCAGAGAACAACCUCGAGCUGGAAACUGCUGGGCUCCCCUCUUUAAUUUAUUGUCAUCAUUAUUACUCUAAAAUCAGAACCACAGUUCCUUAUGGGGAACGUUUGAAGAGUUUUAUUAGAAAAACAUGGCUGGUUUGUUUCUACUGUCUUUUUUUUCCCCAGGAUGCCCUAUAUCCUGAACCAUUGUGUGGGCAUGGUGGAUACUAGAGUGGGAUUUCUGUAGGCUGCUUGAAAUGGUUUCAUUUUUAGAAGUUACAUUUUAUACUGGAAAGCUCCUUUCAGACCCAAAGUUCAUUAUAACCUCAGGAUCUCAGACCUUGCUUCUCCUUGUCUUGUUAACUGAUCUUUCAACCAGAAAGGCAGUCUUAAGAAGUAGAAUUCACCAAUCAAUGGCCCCAGAGGCCUGAGUAUGGGUGUGUUUACUUUUUAGUUAUAGCUUGUGCUAAAAUGGUAUGAGUUAGUUGCCAAGAUUUGAAUUGUGAGCAUUUCAUAGGAAAUUCUGGAUCUCUAGCUUUACUUGAAAAAGUGAGAUGAUUGAGGAUCAAGCCAACAUUCUUCCUUAGCUAUGGACUUGGAGCUGCAAAGUGCCACCACCUUGGGUCUGUCACAGUUCCUCUCGCCUCCUAAUUCAUUCUUAUUUCCAGCCACCUUCACUCAUUUCUGUUUUCUGCCUGGUUCCUGAAGACGACUGAGUUUGAGACCCCUCUGCCUUAGAGGAAGCCUUGAAUUACCCACUGAAAGAAAUGAGGCAGAUGAGGAAACCUGUGCUGGAAUUGGGGUGAUUGAACUGUUUGGAGUACAUUAGUAGUUAACAAAAAAUUGUAGCCACUUAUCCCUUUGUGUAAACAAAAUCUUGUACGAAA